rnacentral:pre_miRNA from 1 species
AAUAAGCGUAACCAUAAGUUUUCGUGUCCAACUUUAAUUGUCUGUCUUAUUUGAUUUUUUAUGAUUAUUAUUAUUAUUAUUAUAUUAUAAAAUAUGAAUGGUAAUUUAUGCGUGACUUAUUUUUCUUAGUUUUUUAAAAAAAUUUAAAUAAGAUGAACAAUUAAAGUUUUUUUUUAUAAUAACCUAUUAAAGUUGGACACGAAAACUUAUGACUGCAUUUAUU